AACGAACGCUGGCGGCAUGCCUAACACAUGCAAGUCGAACGAGACCUUCGGGUCUAGUGGCGCACGGGUGCGUAACGCGUGGGAACCUGCCCUUAGGGUCGGAAUAACUCGCCGAAAGGGGUGCGAAUACCGGAUAAGGUCUUCGGACCAAAGCUUUAUCGCCUUUGGAUGGGCCCGCGUUGGAUUAGCUAGUUGGUAGGGUAAAAGCCUACCAAGGCGACGAUCCAUAGCUGGUCUGAGAGGAUGAUCAGCCACACUGGGACUGAGACACGGCCCAGACUCCUACGGGAGGCAGCAGUGGGGAAUAUUGACACUGCGCGAAAGCCUGAUCCAGCAAUGCCGCGUGAGUGAUGAAGGCCUUAGGGUUGUAAAGCUCUUUUACCCGGGAUGAUAAUGACAGUCCCGGGAGAAUAAGCUCCGGCUAACUCCGUG
rnacentral:rRNA from 1 species